GGUCAUAUAGUUUAAUUUAAAACAUUGAAUUGCAAGUUCAAGAAUGGUUUGUCCUAUGGCUU
rnacentral:tRNA from 1 species